CCUACGGGUGGCUGCAGUGAGGAAUAUUGGUCAAUGGACGAGAGUCUGAACCAGCCAUGCCGCGUGAAGGAAGACGGCUCUAUGAGUUGUAAACUGCUUUUGUACGAGGGUAAACGCAGAUACGCGUAUCUGUCUGAAAGUAUCGUACGAAUAAGGAUCGGCUAACUCCGUGCCAGCAGCCGCGGUAAUACGGAGGAUUCAAGCGUUAUCCGGAUUUAUUGGGUUUAAAGGGUGCGUAGGCGGUUGGUUAAGUCAGAGGUGAAAUCCCGAGGCUCAACCUCAGAAUUGCCUCUGAUACUGUUAGUCUUGAGAGUAGUUGCGGUAGGCGGAAUGCAUGGUGUAGCGGUGAAAUGCUUAGAGAUCAUACAGAACACCGAUUGCGAAGGCAGCUUACCAAGCUACUUCUGACGUUGAGGCACGAAAGCGUGGGGAGCAAACAGGAUUAGAUACCCGAGUAGUC
rnacentral:rRNA from 1 species